GACGAACGCUGGCGGCGUGCCUAAUACAUGCAAGUCGAACGCAGUGGGGACGGUUGAGUAACACGUGGGUAACCUCCCAUCAGAGGGGAUAACACUUGGAAACAGGUGCUAAACCGAUACUGAUGGAUGGACCCGCGGUGGAUUCGCUAGUUGGUGGGGUAACGGCUCACCAAGGCCACGAUGCAUAGCCGGCCUGAGAGGAUGACCAGUCACACUGGAACUGAGACACGGUCCAGACUCCUACGGGAGGCAGCAGUGGGGAAUAUUGGACAAUGGGCGAAAGCCUGAUUCAGCCAUGCCGCGUGUGUGAAGAAGGUCUUCGGGUUGUAAAGUACUUUCAGCGAGGCGUUACCCGCAGAAGAAGCACCGGCUAACUCCGUGCCAGCCGCCGCGGUAAUAC
rnacentral:rRNA from 1 species